AUUGUUGGGCUUCCUCCGCCCCUAAAACUUCGAAAGCCUGAUCCCUUCCCCGCCAAGCCUGGGCUGUUCUCUCUCUUUCAGCCGCCGAAACCGCCGUCAUCCUCGAACGAAGCUCUCCCUCUUCCCCUCGAUUCUUUAACUCCCAGCGGAGAUGCUCCCCUCACGGGCCCUUCAACCCCGUUUCCCCUCUCUCUGAACCAACUCCACCUCCACCCGCUCCACCACGACCUCUUUUUCCCUCUCCUCUCCCUCCUCCGCCGCGUCAUGCGCGCCGCAGGCCGCCUUGUCGCCCGCUCCCCCUCCCUUCCGCUGCCUCUGCCAUCGACCGCGCCGCCGCCUCGGGUUUCCCUCUCGACCACGGCCGCUUCCUCCUCUCCCUCGUCGCCUCCGACCCUUUGCUCAAGGCCGAGGCCCUAUUUUCCCAUGCAACCAAAGGUUUCCCUUCGAACGAUCCCUCCAUGCCCGAUCCCAUGAUAGAAUGCUAUUGCAAGCUCGGGAAUUUGAUUCAGGCCAAAGCCCAUUUGAACCAACUGAUAGAAAUUCGGUCCUUGCCGUCCAUAGAGACGUACGAUGCUUUGUUACAUAGUCUUUGUGCGGAAUUGAAGUACUUGGAGGCUUUGGUCUGGAGCUCUUCUAUCUAAUUACCGGCGGCCGGUGUUUUCCCACCGUUGUCGGCUUUUAAUCUCCUGAUCCCUGGGCUGUGCUCGAAAGGAUAUCUGGACGAGGCUCGCUAAUGGCUGGCACGGGUUUUCCCCUACUGCCCGUUUGAGUCCUUGGUGUACGGGUUUUGCAAGGGAAACAGGGUCAUGGAGGCGGAACUGGGUAUUGUAAGGAAGGAAGGAUGGAGUUGGCUCGGAAUGUCCUCGUGAGAAUGAGAGAGAUGGGCAGCCCUGGAGCUGAUGUUUCUGCCUACAACAGGUGAUCUAUGGGUUGCUGAAGCUUGGAGGAUAUUGAUUCAGCAUGGGAGUUCUACAACCUGAUGGCGGAGAGAGGCUUGAAACCAAAUGCUGUGGCUUACAAUAUCAUGAUCAGUUGGUACUGCAGGAACAACCGGGUGGAUUGUGCACUGAAGCUUCUUGAUGCAAUGCUUAGGCGUGGCUUAGCACCAAAUUUACAGUGCUUCACAGCUGUGAUUACGACACCUUGCAAGGAAAACAAAUUGGUAGAGGCUGACCGAUUGUUUGAUUGCGUGAUGUUCACUUCAUUAGAGGGUCAUGAACCUACUAUAGUUAUCAAGGCUCUGCGGGCUUUGGCAAAGGCAGAUUGUAAUUUUGAUGUUCCAAAGUUAUCUAGGCCAUCUGGCUACUCUUCAAGUGAAACAUGAGAACAACAAGCCGAGCCUAUAUUUGAUGAGAUAGUGAGAAGUGUGGCGCUCCCUGUGGAUGUUGUUUUCAACAUCACAAUAAGCAUUCUGUACAGAGAUGAGAUAGUGACAAGUGUGGCGCUCCCUGUGGAUGUUGUUUUCAACAGUACAAUAAGCAUUCUGUGCACAGACGAGAAACUUCGGUGUUGCUUGUCAUUUGAUGGACAAAAUUCAGUGUUACUCAUUGAUCUUAUGCAGAUUAGGGGAGUUGUUCCUAGCAUUACUACUUAUUCCAUUGUUAUAAAUGCUUACUGCAAGCAUGGGGACAUAGAUUUGGCUUUUGGAGCCUUUAAUCAGAUGGUUGAGGAAGGCUUCAAAUCGUACUGUUGCUAUUUAUGAUCCAAUAAUAGGUUGUCUUCGCAGAGAGCAAAAGCUGAGGAAAGACAAAUUUACAUUUAACAUGGUUAUGUGCCAUGUUGCAGAAGUUAUAACAGAUUGCUUUGGAUUCUCUCUGAGAAUAACAAGUUGUGGGAGGCCCAGAGAGUUUUCAAUAUGAUGCUGCAAAGAGGAAAGACACCAAAUCAAGAAACAAAGAGAUCUGGCGGAAAUGUGCUAUAGGCAAGGACAAAUCAACAUGGCUUUUGAAAUAGAGGAAAACAUGCCCAUUUGUGACUACUGAUGGUUCAUUUUUAAUAUGCCUCAUUUAGCAUCAAAAUUUGCUGAAAUGAUGCGUGAGGGUUUUGAUUGGUUAUUGGGGUGUAUCUUUCUUCAAGGCCUUCCUUUAACAGGCUACAAGAGUUUGGGCAUUCUGAAUUGUCAUCGGUGCCUUAAUUCAAGCCUGUGGCUUGAAGCCAGGCAAGAGAGACAAGAAGUUGGAAGAUGGAUCUUCAAUUUGAAAAGGUUCAUGCAGAAUGCAGCCAGUAUGGUAGCAGCCUGUAUGAGACCCAGAAUUUAGACAUCAAAAGCUUUCCAACAUGACAGUGGCAUAUUGACAAUUUCAGGAUCAUCAUCAAGUUUGGUUAAGUCGAAAAUGAACCACAAAGAAAUUUGUUGCCGCACAAGCAGUAUGUCAGGAUCUAGGGGGCGGCUUAUCCAAGCUUGCGAGACCAGGUAUAAUUUGACUGCAUCCAAGCUUGAGGGUAUGGACUCAUACUUGUCAAGGAUUCCAUUCUGGUGGUUGAACCAAUGUUUUUAUAAUUCAUAUGCAACCAUCCCAUUCUACCCAUGCAAGGUACACCCAAUAUCAGGAAAGCAACUCCGACGAAUUUGGUGGAGCGAACAAAAACAAAAGAGCCAAGUAGGUUAAAAUUGCUACUUAACUUCUAUUCAAACGUUUAUAGAUUCCACUAGUUCAGGGAACUUGCACAGAACGAGCCAGAGGGAGAAACAUGCUGACCUUUCGCCCGUGCUAAAGGCCGGAUUAACGGGAUAAAUUCAUGUCCUCUCUUGGGACUCGGUCCUACAUUAAUAGCUUACCGUCAAUUAAGGAGUUUACCAGUGCCGACUCUUCCUCUUAAUAUCCAAUUCCACUUCUUUCUUGUCCUGCUAUAAUGGCGAGAUAGAGUCGUUAGGUACCUUAACGUCAUGGAGGCUGCAUUAAAACCAGCAAGGCUUUUUCCAACAUUUUUUAUACAACUACGCCUCAUACUAAGAAUGCAAGAGUGCAACCAAUAAAAUCAGAAAAAAAAAAUUGACGAAGAGAGAAAAAAUAAAUAUUUGAUUUUUUCUAAAAAAACUCUCUAGAAUGAUAAGUCGCAAAGAUCACUAUCUAUUAUUAUUUGCCUUUCGAUAGACAUAUAUGGUCCAGAAGAAGCUACACCCUUUUGAUAAUUUGUAUAUGUUGCAAAGCAGCAGCUGCUUGCCAACAUUGCUGUGCUAAUCUCGAAUCUACUCGAUCACCGUAGUUGAGUUCUCUUCAAAAUGAAUGCAAUCUGUACUCAGAACAUUUGAAGAUUAUUUCCCAUAACGUUCAUUAGACCAUUCACGGUGCUUGUUAUCAGUGCAUGUUUCAACUAUUAUCAUGCGUCUGUGGUUUUUUUUUUAUGCGCACAUAAUUGUUUCUAUUGUAAUCCAUUGCUGCCCAAGUUUGGUGCUUCAGCGUCCUUUAAGCCUAAGAUGCAUUAAAAGUUCGAGGUAAAACAAGACUUGUGGGGCACAAUAUGGCAGCGUUGUGUUGUCAAUUUGGGUGCCACGACAUUAAACUCUGUGAUUCGUUAAAACUAACCCAGAAAUUCUUCUCGUGAUUGUGAAGGUGGCGGUAAUUUAUUAACCCUCUGGUAGACAAGACCUGGAUAUUUUUAAUACGCGGAUUACUCUCAGUUUUGUUAAAUCAUUUGAAGUGCUCGACGAUUGUGCAAAGUAUCUUUGACCAACCUCCAAUUUAAUCCACUCGUCCAAAUUGGUUCGCUGCCUUGGGUGCCGGUUACCUAACCCUUUUUUUUAUUUUUUCUACGGCUGAUUCAAAGACUCGAGAUUCAUCAAAAUUUGCACAUGAGAGACACG